UACGUAGGGGGCAAGCGUUGUCCGGAAUCAUUGGGCGUAAAGCGCGUGUAGGCGGCCAGGUAAGUCCGUUCUGAAAGCCCGGGGCUCAACCCCGGGAGGCGGAUGGAUACUGCUUGGCUCGAGUCCGGAAGAGGCGAGUGGAAUUCCCGGUGUAGCGGUGAAAUGCGCAGAUAUCAGGAGGAACACCGAUGGCGAAGGCAGGUCUCUGGGCCGAUACUGACGCUGAGGAGCGAAAGCGUGGGGAGCGAACAGG
rnacentral:rRNA from 1 species